rnacentral:rRNA from 1 species
UACGUAGGGGGCAAGCGUUGUCCGGAAUUAUUGGGCGUAAAGAGCUCGUAGGCGGUUUGUCGCGUCUGCUGUGAAAAUCCAGGGCUUAACCCUGGACCUGCAGUGGGUACGGGCAGACUAGAGUGCGGUAGGGGAGAUCGGAAUUCCUGGUGUAGCGGUGAAAUGCGCAGAUAUCAGGAGGAACACCGGUGGCGAAGGCGGUUCUCUGGGCAUUACCUGACGCUGAGGAGCGAAAGUGUGGGGAGCGAACAGG